GCAAUUCUUCUGCCUCAGCCUCCCAAGUAGCUGAGAUUACAGGCUGAAGCGGAUGCAGAGAUGAAAAUUUGGGUGCAAGAUGUUUAUUAAGGAUCAACAUCUGUGGCCUGGUGUGGUGGCUCACACCUGUAAUCCCAGUACUUUGGGAGGCCAAGGGGAGUGGAUCACCUGAGGUCAGGAGUUCAAGACCAGCCAGGCCAACAUGGAGAAACCCAGUCUCUACUAAAAAUACAAAAAAAUUAGCCAGACCUGGCGGCACGUGCCUGUAAUCCCAGCUACUCAGGAGGCUGAAGCAGGACAAUCACUUGAACCAGAGUGGCAGAGGUUACGGUGAGCUGAGAUGGUGUCACUGCACUCCAGCCUGAGCAACAGAGUGAGACUCAAUCUCCAAAACAAAACAAAAAAACAACAUCUGUGAAGGGAAGAUGGAUUGGGCAGAGAGCGAAAUUGAACUGUGAUGCAGGCCCGAUCAAGUACCCACCAACUCAGUAGGGCACGCAGGAGCUUGAAGCACCCACUGGAAUAUUUUCAUGGAGGACUAAAAUGGCUGGGUCUCUAUGCUCCCGCGUAGCUCAGUUCCCAGAGGCAGCUGCCCUGGGGAGGGCAGGGUGUUGGGUGGGGCAACUCUCUGCAGCUGAGGCAGACCCUGAAGGGCUGACAGCUGGAGGCCAUCUGCCCAGCUCACUCCUGCAGCUGGAUGGAAAGGCCUUCCUGGAAGAAGGGGGUCCGGGCAAUGCAUUUCCACAUCUACUACACCUAUAUCCCCUGACUCUCAGAGAUCUAGCAACUUGCCUGCAAACUUGAGCCUUCCUCACUACAAGUUAGGCCUUGGCAUCUUUUGCCCAGACUACUACAGUCCUCACUGGCUCCACCAGCCAUCUCCUCCCACCCCCACCCAUCCUCUGUGUGGUCCACACACAGGUCUGAUCUUGUCACUUGCCAGUGCAUGAACACUAAGGGACCUCUGUUGUGGAAAUCAGACUAGUUUCAGAAACUCUGAAGUGGGGCUGUAACCAUUUAGUGAAGCUCUGCACACAGGAAGAGAUGCGGGGAGCAACCUCCACUAAGAGCCAGGGACUCCUUCACCUCAGUUCUUAACCUGGGAGUUUUAUGGGUUCAUUUUGAUACAUGAUGUGAUCCAGGGCCUGUACCCGCUUCUAGAAGUUAUCUUGGGAUCCACAGGAGAAAGACUUCGCACUUUUUAAGUAUAUAAACCUGCAGACUAUAUGUGAAUAGUUUUAAGUACAGUAUAUAUCUUAAAAAGGGGCCAGGCACAGUGGCUCACGCCUGCAAUCCCAGCACUUUGGAAGGCCAACCCAGGCAGAUCACGAGGUCAGGAGAUCAAGACCAUCCUGGCCAACAUGUUGAAACCCCAUCGCUACUAAAAAUACAAAAAAAAAUUAGCUGGGCGUGGUGGCAUGUGCCUGUAAUUCCAUCUACUUGGGAGGCUGAAGAGGAGAAUCGCUUGAACCAGGGAGUCGGAGGCUGCAGUAAGCCGAGAUCGCACCACUGCACGCCAGCCUGGCAACAGAGGAAGACUCCGUCUCAAAGAAAAGGGAGGGAGUAACUGUAAGUAAAUAUCCAUUGGAAAAGUGAUUUAAAUAUACAUUUUAGAAACAAGGAGAGUCACAAUUAGCAAGGUAAAGUAGACUCUGAAAGGACAAGCAGAUGUGCAUUUCCAAAGGCGGAGUCUAUUCUGUUCAGUUUCUACUUUAUGAGACAUCUAAUUUUUGGUGAUGGGGUGGGGAACAAUUUCCAAUGCAUCUGCACCCCUCCCCCUCCUGCCCCUCAGGUCACAGCUCCCCCUCCUUCCACGCAUCCUGUGCUCCAGCCACGCUACUCCCCAAGGUGGGGGGUCCCUCUCCACACCUCUGGGCUAUUGCUUAGGCUGUGCUGUUGGCUUGGACUGCCCUUUUCCCCACUUCUGUCUCCUCUGUGAGCUGCUUCCUCCCCUUCCUUUCUUCCUUCCCCCAGGAAGGAGUCCCAUAGUUGUUUGCACCCAUCCAUUACAGCGUGGACUGCACCUUAUUACAGUUAUUGGUGUGCAAGCCUUUCUCCCCUACUAGACCCUAAGCUUGGGGAAGGGGAGGGAACUGUGGGCUCUCAUCUCUGUACCCACUCCUGGCAGGCCACCUGGCACAAAAUCCACUCAGGAAGUAUUCACUGUCCGUGAGUUGAGCCAUUGUGCUUACAUAGCACCAAUCUGUGACAGCUUGUCUGACCUGGAAUUUCACCCUGUAUUUCCCAAAGAAAAGAUAUGAGUACUGGAUUUGAGAGAUAUAUUUCAACAUUUCAAUUUUAUUGUAUUUAAGAACUUUUUUUUCUCAGAAAAAAAUUACAAAAUUCAUUUUAUAAAAUUCAUCCAGAUAAAUGAUUUCAGUCCCAUAUGGUACAAAAUACCUUUCCCAAGGAAUAGAUGAUUUAAUUUAAAGCCUCUGUUUUCUUUUCCUUUUAUAACUUUACUUUUGUUUUUUUUCACAGA
rnacentral:lncRNA from 1 species